AAAAAGAAGAGUUUCAACUAAAGACUUGUAUAGAGAGGUGGGAGAGCCCAUCCCUCCAUCUUCUAACCAAAAUGUCCUAAAGGUCCUCCCCAUCCCCCUCGAUGUGGAGCCGUCCAUCCUCAACUGCAGCAUCCUCAAAGCAGAGCACAGACUCAGGGUCUACCUUGAUGUCAAAUAUGCUUCAGACCCAGUGAUCAAAUUCCCCAUAGUCAUCCUGCCGGCCCCUAAUGUUCCUGGUGUGGAGGCGCCCCCACUCGCUGCUUCUGGUUUUGGAUUUGAACCGUUUGGAAAGACCUACCCACCAGCCUGGGGAACAGUCCCUCCACAAACACCAUCAGCACCCCAACUCUCAGAUCCCCAACCCUCAGACCCCCCUCCUGCCUAUGGAACAUGGGACACACCCUCCUUUGAUAAAUCUUGGAAAUGAAUAUAAUUGGUUGGACUGUGAAGAUAUGUGGACAUUUCAGAGGUUUUCAUGCUGCUGCCCACCUCCUCCCCAUCUACCUCC